rnacentral:rRNA from 1 species
GUCGAACGAGAAAGCCCUUCGGGGUUAGUAAAGUGGCGAACGGGUGAGUAACACGUGGGCAAUCUGCCCUUCGUUGGGGGACAACCGGGGGAAACCCCGGCUAAUACCCCGUAAGCUUGUCGGGUCACAUGGCCUGACAAGGAGAGGUAGCUUCGGCCAUCCGGCGAAGGAGGAGCCCGCGGUACAUUAGCUAGUUGGUGAGGUAACGGCUCACCAAGGCUACGAUGUAUAGCUGGUCUGAGAGGAUGAUCAGCCACACUGGGACUGAGACACGGCCCAGACUCCUACGGGAGGCAGCAGUCGGGAAUCUUGCACAAUGGGUGAAAGCCUGAUGCAGCAACACCGUGUGAGCGAUGAAGGCCCUAGGGUCGUAAAGCUCUGUUGUUGGGGACGAAGGGCGAAGGGUUAAUAGCCCUUAGCCUGACGGUACCCUUCGAGGAAGCCCCGGCUAACUACGUGCCAGCAGCCGCGGUAAUACGUAGGGGGCGAGCGUUGUCCGGAAUUAUUGGGCGUAAAGAGCGUGUAGGCGGCUUGGUGAGUCUGCUGUGAAACCUUGGGGCUCAACCCCAAGCGUGCAGUGGAUACUGUCAAGCUAGAGGAUGGUAGAGGCCAGUGGAAUUCCCAGUGUAGCGGUGAAAUGCGCAGAUAUUGGGAGGAACACCAGUAGCGAAGGCGGCUGGCUGGGCCAUUCCUGACGCUGAGACGCGAAAGCUAGGGGAGCGAACAGGAUUAGAUACCCUGGUAGUCCUAGCCGUAAACGAUGAACACUAGGUGUGGGGGGAGUCGAAUCCCUCCGUGCCGAAGCCAACGCGUUAAGUGUUCCGCCUGGGGAGUACGGCCGCAAGGCUAAAACUCAAAAGAAUUGACGGGGGCCCGCACAAGCAGCGGAGCAUGUUCUUUAAUUCGAUGCAACGCGAAGAACCCUUACCUGGGACUUGACAUGGCACUGCAAGCGCACGGAAACGUGUGACCUUC